AGAGUUUGAUCCUGGCUCAGGAUAAACGCUGGCGGCGUGCCUAACACAUGCAAGUCGAACGCUCUUGGGAGCAAUCCCAAGGGAGUGGCGGACGGGUGAGUAACACGUGGGUACCUACCCUGUGGUGAGGAAUACCGGCGAGAAAUCGCCGACAAUACUGCAUAGGUUUGCAUUGCAAACAAAGCUCGGGAAACCGGGUG
rnacentral:rRNA from 1 species